GUCAGUUGUUUGGCACGAUCCAGAAUGUAGGCUUUCCCUCGAACAUCUCUCUUUCUGAAAAGAUCUUCACACACCUCAGUCAAUGUGAGAGUAAUGGGGAUUUUAUUUAUAUUGAUUGCCUCUAUUUCAAACUAUGAACAUCUUUGUUUAAUUCUGAAAAAUGGCCAUAUAAACACUGACUAUCAAGAAUGCGUCAUAGUAAACGCAGGGGGAAGUGGGAAAUAUUGCCAUUGCUCACACUAGAGCUCAAGCCCAGAUUCCACUGUUAGUCAUCAGACAAUAAAAAAGAGACUCUUUCAUACACUUAAGCCCUUCUGGUGCUGCUCACAGUGCAACAUGCUGAACAUUUUAUUUACCAAUAUGUCACCAUGUCCUCUUUGAUUGGAACCAAUAUUAAUUAUACAAAUUCAACACUGAGUCUGCCUAGUGUUACAGAUUUCAUGAAAGCAGGCAUAAUUCACCCACUCAACAAGUCAAAUAUUGUAAUAAUGGCAACAUCUUUGAUUUCCUCUUCAGAUUUUUGUUCCACUGUGUUCAGCUUGUGCUUAUCAGCUCAAUGGCACAUUUUGUGGUUGGAGGAAGGAGAUCUUACUAAUGGGGUGUAUGCGUCAUUUCUCUCACUGAUGGAAAGUAAUUUCUUCAAUGAGCUAAACUUGUUUGGACAUCUCUCAACAUCAUCCCUGUGUGAUAUGAUCUCCACAAACCAGUGUCUCUCAUUGAAACUUCAGUGAAGCCCAAAGCUCUGUCUGGGACUUCUGGACCACAUGUGUGAGAAUGAGUCAUAGAAAACCUUAACAUUUGCCAUUGUUAACAUCAUCACUAUUAAAACCCUCCUGCUCCCCUUCUCUUUUUUUCUGUAUUUUUCUCUUCAGGUGAUUAUUCAACAUCUUUCCUUUCCUGACCUUGUUGUGAGUCCUCAGCUCCACUCUGAACUGGGGUCAAAAAACUUGAAGCCAAUCAUCAAAUAAAUGACGUAAUAUAUUUUCUCCUGACUUACUG
ensembl:lncRNA